UGUGCCUGGUAGGCAAAUCCGCCGGGCUUAGAUGAGGGGUGAUAACGAGGCGGCUUGCCGCCGAAGUGAGCGAUACCCUGCUUCCAGGAAAAGCCACUAAGCUUCAGCUACACACGACCGUACCGCAAACCGACACUGGUGCGCGAGAUGAGUAUUCUAAGGCGCUUGAGAGAACUCUGGAGAAGGAACUCGGCAAAUUGACACCGUAACUUCGGAAGAAGGUGUGCCUUUAGUAGGUGAUCCAUUUACUUGGUGAGCCCAAUGAGGCCGCAGAGAAUCGGUGGCUGCAACUGUUUAAUAAAAACACAGCACUCUGCAAAGACGAAAGUCGACGUAUAGGGUGUGACGCCUGCCCGGUGCUGGAAGAUUAAAUGAUGGGGUGCAAGCUCUUGAUUGAAGUCCCAGUAAACGGCGGCCGUAACAACAACGGUCCUAAGGUAGCGAAAUUCCUUGUCGGGUAAGUUCCGACCUGCACGAAUGGCGUAAUGAUGGCCACACUGUCUCCUCCAGAGACUCAGCGAAGUUGAAAUGUUUGUGAUGAUGCAAUCUCCCCGCGGAAAGACGGAAAGACCCCAUGAACCUUUACUGUAGCUUUACAUUGGACUUUGAACAGAUCUGUGUAGGAUAGGUGGGAGGCCUUGAAGCGGUGCCGCUAGGUGUCGUGGAGCCAACCUUGAAAUACCACCCUGGUGUGUUUGAGGUUCUAACCUUGGCCCGUUAUCCGGGUGGGGGACAGUGUAUGGUGGGCAGUUUGACUGGGGCGGUCUCCUCCCAAAGUGUAACGGAGGAGUUCGAAGGUACGCUAAAUACGGUCGGAAAUCGUGUUGAUAGUGCAUUGGCAUAAGCGUGCUUGACUGCGAGACUGACAAGUCGAGCAGGUACGAAAGUAGGACAAAGUGAUCCGGUGGUUCUGUAUGGAAGGGCCAUCGCUCAACGGAUAAAAGGUACUCUGGGGAUAACAGGCUGAUACCGCCCAAGAGUUCAUAUCGACGGCGGUGUUUGGCACCUCGAUGUCGGCUCAUCUCAUCCUGGGGCUGUAGCCGGUCCCAAGGGUAUGGCUGUUCGCCAUUUAAAGAGGUACGUGAGCUGGGUUUAAAACGUCGUGAGACAGUUUGGUCCCUAUCUUCCGUGGGCGCUGCAAGAUUGAGAGAGCCUGCUCCUAGUACGAGAGGACCGGAGUGGACGCACCGCUGGUGUAUCGGUUGUCAUGCCAAUGGCAUUGCCGAGUAGCUAAGUGCGGAAGAGAUAACCGCUGAAAGCAUCUAAGCGGGAAACUCGUCUCAAGAUGAGUCUUGCCGGGGCCCUGAGCCCCCUGAAGGGUCGUUCGAGACCAGGACGUUGAUAGGUCGGGUGUGGAAGCGCAGCAAUGCGUUAAGCUAACCGAUACUAA
rnacentral:rRNA from 1 species